rfam:Triticum urartu cultivar G1812 contig621088, whole genome shotgun sequence.
ACUACAUUGAAGAGCUCGGACCAGAAAGUGCUGCAUCACACUGUAAACAUUAGCUUCUUCUCUACCGCUGCAAGUGUCUUUCCCUGUAUCAUAACUGAUGUGGUUUGCUCUGGGAUGAAAAUGCCCAUUUGCACCUGCUUGAUUCGGCUGUGUGCUUUCGAAUUUAUUUUCUUGGGC